AUAACUGGAGGAGAUCCAAAAGUACAAGGAGUGUCAACUGGAUACAACAAUAAAAGGUAUCAACAGGUAGCAGAUAAAUUGCUGUCGAUGAAACAUCUUGUGGUUUUGACCAUUAUCCAUGGACUUUAGAGAAGACCUUAAUACAAGGAGACAUUUUAAAAGCCAAAAAAUAAGUAGACUAAAUAAUCUAAAUAGACGUUGGUCUGGUCCAAAAUUAAAGAUGAUCCGAUCAGCUAUAGAUUUUGUUCUUGUUUUUGUUUCUCUACAGUGUUUCUUUCUUCCAGUACAGUAACCAAUGAAAUAUAUUAAUCACCGAAAAUGGUAAUAUUGACUUAGAUCCGAUUGUAAGAUAAGAUCAACUUUUCAUGUAAAAAAAUUGGUAAAUGUUGAAUGCAUCUAGAAAAAAAGAAAUAAGAAAAGAUGAUGAUCAGAAUUUAUUACAGGUGAUUAUAUUUUUCCUUAACAAACUUAACUUGAUCUUUUUUGAUUGAUUAGCCAAUGGUGGUCAUCAUCAUUUUUUUCCUAAAUGGUCAUCUCACUGGUCAAUUAAAACUAGAUGAUAAAACUAGAGUAGACAAGUUUAACAAGUUCAGUAACUAUUGACAAAUGAAAAAUGAAAACAAAAUUGACAAAUCAUGCAAAUUCAAUUCAAUAUAUCGAUAGUAUAUCGAACGUAUUUUCACAUCGUUUUUACAGUUUGAGUUUAAUAAUUGUCAGAAUAGCGUUCUUCAUUUAUUUAUUUACUAUUAAAUUAAUUUAACUGGAUUUAUCACCAUUUUUAGCUUCAAUAGCAACCAUGUUAUUAAAACAAUAGGAAAAGUUGCUCUGAAAGGUUUACCUUAAAGCCUUCUGAUGUAAAUGAUUACAAUUAUCUACAUUGGUUUGAUAAAUUGUACCUGAUUAAUUCACGCCAUGGAAAGUUAAAUCUGAAGUUAGCAGCUAAAUGAUUAGGACCAGUAUAUCAGGUUCCGCUAAUCAUACAAGUAAAUGUUCACAAAACCAUGAUCAGGUGGAGUUUUGCAGCAAAAAAAAGAAAGAGAUAAUAAUCCAAUAUCUCAGAAUAAUGAUGAUAAAGAAAGUAAAAGACAAGUUCAUGGCAAAAUUCAGCGGCAGGUUUCUUGAUGAACCUGAACUUUGUUAAUGAAAAAAAGUUUAAGCUUUCAUCCUUUCUCAUCUUCAUGUUAAUAUAUAUAACUCAUGUUAAUCACACAAGAAUCUGACAAAAGGGCAAAGAAAAGGAAAAGUGAGAAAAGUGAAAUUCACAUGACCAAAGGUAAAUCUUUACACUUUUUAAUAGCACUUUAGCUUCUUUUUUUCAGCUCAUCUCGUCUGUUAAUAAUGAUGACAUUCAAAAUGACAUUGAUUACUCAUAAUAGUGGGCAGAGUUGAGGGUGAUCUAUUGAACAUACACUUGUACUUUCAAGUAGUGACUAAACUUGCUAGAUUAAGGUCAAUAAGAGAAAAAUCACAGAGAUUUUCUUCUUUUUCUUCAUGAUCUUCUUCUCACUCUAAUCACUUCACCUUGUGAUAUAUAUGCAUUCAUAAAUAUCCUAUUGCAUGUUACCCAAAAUUAAAUGAAAGCGCAAAAGAAAGCCAACUUUGAUCAUUAUCAUCAGAUUUUGUUAAUACUUUUUGAAUAUUAUUUUUUGCCUCUUCUUUUCAGUUCUUCUUUCUUUUUCACUGUCAAGGCCAACCAAUUUUUUGGUGAAAAAAGGCGGAAAGUGAGGCCACUUUUGCUUGCUACACGAACUAAACUAAACUAGAUUUCAACCUUUCUGUCUUUAAAGUGAUGCUCAUGAUAAUGAUGAAGAUGAGCUGCAGCAUAAGUAGGAGCGUAAUGCGUAAAAAAGCUAAAUGAAUUACUAAAUGUGAAUUAGUUAAUUGGUCUAACUGAUGGAUUUUCACUCACUCACUCUAUUCCUCUAUCACUUUCUCUCGUACACGCACUCUUCUACUAUUUUGUUGCUGUUAAUUUAUCAUUAAUAUUAUCAUUUGAUUGAUCUAACCAGUUUAGUUUGAGGACUUUCCUUAAAAAUUAUACUUGCAUCAAGAAAAAAGUAAUUACUUUGCACUAGUGUGAAUAAAUGUUGGAAUAUUUGAAAACUAA